CAGGAAAAGGAUUUAAGUCCUACCUUAAGUUUUUUCGUAACUCUAAUUACUUCACAAAACUUAAGAGCUAUUCAAAUAAGGUACAGCCUAUUUGAAACAGGAUACAACCUACAACAUUGGGUAAUGAAUUCUGCUUCAUAAUUAAGUGGGCCUAAGAGCAGCCACCUUUAAAAAAGCGUUAAAGCUUUAUUAUACUAGCACAAUAAUUACAUUAAUAUCCCAAAACCCUUACCCCGUACUGAGUGACUUCAUAAUAUUAUGAAAAACCAUAUGCUAGAACUAGUAACAAGAAGAAGACCUUCUCCAAAAUGUACAUAUAGGCCAAAAUGAACAACUCAUUGGCAUUUACCGCUUAUGAACUAACAGUAGUAACUCAACAAGAAAACUCUACUAUCCAUAACGUUAACCUUACACUAGCACAUUCCCGGAAAGAUUAAAAGGAAGGGAAGGAACUCGGCAAAUAAUAACCUCGCCUGUUUACCAAAAACAUCGCCUCCUGAAUAAUCAUAGGAGGUCCAGCCUGCCCAGUGACAAAGUUAAACGGCCGCGGUACCCUAACCGUGCAAAGGUAGCGCAAUCACUUGUUCUUUAAAUGAGGACUAGUAUGAAUGGCAUCACGAGGGUUAUACUGUCUCCCCCACCUAAUCAGUGAAACUGAUCUUCCCGUGAAGAAGCGGGAAUAGAAUUAUAAGACGAGAAGACCCCAUGGAGCUUUAAACUCAACAUCAACUGCCCCCUAAAUAACUUAUUAACCACGCAGAUCUGACAGUUAGUUUUCGGUUGGGGUGACCGCGGAGUAAAACAAAACCUCCACGAUGAAAGGAAUUAACCUCCUAAUCUAAGAGCUACAGCUCUAAGAAUCAACAAAUUGACAAAACUUGAUCCAAAUAUUUUGACCAACGAACCAAGUUACCCUGGGGAUAACAGCGCAAUCCAUUUCAAGAGCUCAUAUCGACAAAUGGGUUUACGACCUCGAUGUUGGAUCAGGGUAUCCCAGUGGCGCAGCCGCUA
rnacentral:rRNA from 1 species